GGACGAACGCUGGCGGCGUGCCUAAUACAUGCAAGUCGAACGAACGGAGCUAGGAACUUGUUCCCGGCAAAGUUAGUGGCGCACGGGUGAGUAACACGUGGAGAACCUACCCUUUUGCGGGGGAUAACCAUUGGAAACGAUGACUAAUACCGCAUAGAAUCGCAGAUCGCAUGAUCAACGAAGGAAAGACGGCUUCGGCUGUCACAAAAGGAUGGCUCCGCGGUGCAUUAGCUAGAUGGUGGGGUAACGGCCUACCAUGGCAAUGAUGCAUAGCCGACCUGAGAGGGUGAUCGGCCACAUUGGGACUGAGACACGGCCCAAACUCCUACGGGAGGCAGCAGUAGGGAAUCUUCCGCAAUGGGCGCAAGCCUGACGGAGCAACGCCGCGUGUGUGAAGAAGGUCUUCGGAUCGUAAAGCACUGUUGUUAGAGAAGAACGACCGCUAGAGUAACUGUUAGYGGAGUGACGGUAUCUAACCAGAAAGCCACGGCUAACUAC
rnacentral:rRNA from 1 species